rfam:Gossypium hirsutum cultivar TM-1 chromosome 13, whole genome shotgun sequence
UUACCGGCGUUUUUGAAGGAAACGCCACAAAUAUAUUUUAGGAGAUUGUUG